UACGUAGGUGGCAAGCGUUGUCCGGAAUUACUGGGUGUAAAGCGCGUGUAGGCGGGAGGCCAAGUCUGCUGUGAAAUCGCUCGGCUCAACUGGGCGGGGUCGGUGGAAACUGGUCACCUGGAGGACGGUAGAGGCGAGUGGAAUUCCCGGUGUAGUGGUGAUAUGCGUAGAUAUCGGGAGGAACACCAGUGGCGAAGGCGGCUCUCUGGGCCCUACCUGACGCUGAGACGCGAAAGCGUGGGGAGCGAACCGG
rnacentral:rRNA from 1 species